CGCAGAGCCUGAUGUGGGGCUCGCUCCAUCCCGCCAUCCCUGAGAUCUUGACCUGAACAAGAAUGCAGGCUUAAGUGACUGAGCCACCCAGGUGCCCCAGGUUGGGAGUAUUUUUUGUAGCAGUUUUGGUGAAGACUUAAUGUUACUUCACUGAGUAUAAUGUUUUAUUUAAACCUACUUUUUAAUUUAAAAAUUUUUUUGUGAACAUCAAGAGAGCUUUAAACUGUUAAAAAUCCCCAGGAAGCAAAUAUUUAGGGUUUUCCCAGUGAAAACUUUUAUGCCCAGCAGCCAUUACAUGAUUAUGUCAGAGUCCUAUUAGAUAGUUGUUCUUUGAGCAUCUGCUGUCCUUUCUGAAGGUGAAAGGCACUGACGCUCUUCGUAUCUAUUGGGUUGUAUAGUUUCAUAGGGCAGGAGCAUUCAGGAGCCACCAGGCAGGCCAGCUCUUUUAGGACCUCAUUUCUCCUGUAACUCAGCACGUCACCAGAGUUGUCUACACUUUUCCAAGACAGCAGAAAAUGAACAAAUCCCAGAUGUAUCUCCAGACCCUGGAGCAUUGCUUCUCAGAGUGAGGAUCUUUGGCCAGAAAUGGCAGCGUCACCUCGAAACUUGUUUGACAUGCAGAUUGUGACCCACCAUCCCAAACCUACUGGAAGAGAACUUUUGGAGGCCAGGCCCAGCAAUCUGUGUUCUUACAGGAUGUCCGUGUGAUGGUUGAUAACACAUUAAGUUUAAGAAUCACUGGUCCAGUGUUCAGUGAUUAGUAUCUUUGAGUUACAGGAUAUUAGGAUUUCUCAUUUUUCUAGGUAAAUUGUUACUCAUCAGAAAACUGUGUCUUCUCCAGAUACAGAAGUUAUUCCUACUUCAAAUGGUUACAGACUUCACUGUUUAAUUUGUAUGUGUCUGAUUAUUGAGUUUGUGCAAAUUUCAUAAAUUUACGGUGUAUAAGUGUUCAGCAAUUUCAAGAGUGGGUGGAAUUCUUGCACACCCAUUGUUAGAAUUAUUUCUUUGUAUUCAGUGGUUUUUUAAAAAUAUACAUGUAUCUCCCCCCACCCAAGAGAGGUAGCGUGAGCUCAGGAGAGGGGUAGAGGGAGAUGGAUGGAGAGAAUCUUAAGCCGACUCCACACUCAGGGUAGAGCCCGACAUGAGCCUGGAUCCCACGUCCCUGGGGUCAGGACCACAGCAGAAAUCAAGAGUCUGAUGUUCAACUGAGCCACCCUGUAUUAUGUAUUAAUAUUUAAAUAUAUUUUUAUUUGCACUUUUU